rnacentral:rRNA from 1 species
CCUACGGGUGGCAGCAGUGAGGAAUAUUGGUCAAUGGGCGGGAGCCUGAACCAGCCAAGCCGCGUGAAGGAAGAAGGCGCCAAGCGUCGUAAACUUCUUUUGUCGGGGAACAAAGGGCGCCACGUGUGGCGUUGUGAGUGUACCCGAAGAAAAAGCAUCGGCUAACUCCGUGCCAGCAGCCGCGGUAAUACGGAGGAUGCGAGCGUUAUCCGGAUUUAUUGGGUUUAAAGGGAGCGUAGGCGGGUUGUUAAGUCAGUUGUGAAAGUUUGCGGCUCAACCGUAAAAUUGCAGUUGAUACUGGCAUCCUUGAGUACAGUAGAGGUAGGCGGAAUUCGUGGUGUAGCGGUGAAAUGCUUAGAUAUCACGAAGAACUCCGAUUGCGAAGGCAGCCUGCUGGACUGUAACUGACGCUGAUGCUCGAAAGUGUGGGUAUCAAACAGGAUUAGAUACCCUAGUAGUC